GACCUACCAUCCAGCAUGCCUGAGAGACUGGAUCUACCAUCCAGCAUGCCUGAGAGACUGGAUCACCAUCCCGUUUCUUUGGCUGGCCUUCCUGGGCCUAGCUUCUAGAGUCAGCACUUUGAUCACAAAACCGACUGGAGGAAAUUCCACCCAAAACUUUAAUAUGGAAAAGGAGAAAAACCGAAAACAUCCAGAUCCCCUCACAAAGCUCUGCAAAGGUCAAUGGGAUUAAUACAGCCUUUGAACAUGGUUAUUUAGCUGAAAUAAAGGAGCAACAUGGGGCAGA